rnacentral:rRNA from 1 species
CGUUAUGGUUCUAUUUUGUUGGUUUCUAGGACCAUCGUAAUGAUUAAUAGGGACGGUCGGGGGCAUCAGUAUUCAGUUGUCAGAGGUGAAAUUCUUGGAUUAACUGAAGACUAACUACUGCGAAAGCAUUUGCCAAGGACGUUUUCAUUAAUCAAGAACGAAAGUUAGGGGAUCGAAGAUGAUCAGAUACCGUCGUAGUCUUAACCAUAAACUAUGCCGACUAGGGAUCGGGUGGCGCUUCUUGCCCACUCGGCACCUUACGAGAAAUCAAAGUCUUUGGGUUCUGGGGGGAGUAUGGUUGCAAGGCUGAAACUUAAAGGAAUUGACGGAAGGGCACCACCAGGAGUGGAGCCUGCGGCUUAAUUUGACUCAACACGGGGAAACUCACCAGGUCCAGACGUAAUAAGGAUUGACAAGCUAGAGACUUCUCUUGAUCUUACGGGUGGUGGUGCAUGGCCGUUUUUAGUCCUUGGAGUGAUUUGUCUGCUUAAUUGCGAUAACGGACGAGACCUUAACCUGCUAAAUAGGGCUGCGAGCAUCUGCUCGUGGGCUCUUCUUAGAGGGACUAUGGGUUUCAAACCCAUGGAAGUUUGAGGCAACAACAGGUCUGUGAUGCCCUUAGACGUUCUGGGCCGCACGCGCGCUACACUGACGGAGCCAGCAAGUAUAUCCUUGGUCGAGAGGCCCGGGUAAUCUCGUGAAACUCCGUCGUGC